CCAGGCCCCGAGUUCAAGCACCACGGCCAUUGUAUCACUGAAUCAAUAUAUCUAACUGUGCAUUUAUUCUACCUGAGACCAAUUUCCCCAUGAGGUCACUGGAUUUUCUUAUCUUAAGAAGUUCUCCAGUAUUCCUUACCAUGAACUACCCUUGAAAGUUAUCAGCAAUUCCUGUCUGGCAGGCUUAACCUUGCUUGUGAUCUCAGUAAUCAUAUUUUUAGAUAACUAAUCUCUUAUACAUAUAUAUGUAUAUAUAUGCAAUUGAGUUCAUCGAAGUGUAUUAAAAAGUAUGAAACCAUGUCACAUCCAUACUCUAGAUCAUACUUGUGUUGUCCCUGAAGGCAAUUCUUAACUGAACAAAGAACGAAUACUAUGGAACUUCUGCUGCUGCUCCUUUAUGUGAAAAUGAAAAUUGCACUGUGCUUCCAGGCGGGAGAAAGCAGCCAAAUCAUACUCCACAGCCAAACACACCUCAACAUUUCCUACUGAAGGAAAUGACCCCACUUUAUGUGUAUUUCAAUGGGAAAACUGUCAGAAGCACAAGGGGCUAGCAGAUGCAACUCCUAUUUCAAGUAUCAGAAAAAUAUUCAACAAUGAAGCAUGAUUUAGACAUCAAGAGGAGACAGAUGUUUCUCUUGCUCCCACAAGUCUUUCCUUUCCUUGCACAGUCCCAGAUGAGUCACUGCAGCCUCCCUGUUCAGUCUGUACGAAGGGUCAUGGGAUGUGGUCAGAUCUGGCAGAUGUAGAAAUCACAUAUGCGCACUUCGCAUGACCAUUGCAUGGUCAUGUGUCCAUCUUCUAGCUGCAAGGGAAGCGAGGAGAAUGCUUGUUCAGUUGACAGUUUUAUUACUAA